rnacentral:rRNA from 1 species
GGCUGCGAUCAUACCAGCACUAAUGCAACGGAUCCCAUCAGAACUCCGCAGUUAAGCGUGCUUGGGCGAGAGUAGUACUAGGAUGGGUGACCCCCUGGGAAGUCCUCGUGUUGCAACCC